UACACACGGAUAACAUACCGAAAGGUAUGCUAAUACGGGAUAAUAUAUUUGAGAGGCAUCUCUUAAAUAUCAAAGGUGAGCCAGUACAGGAUGGACCCGCGUCUGAUUAGCUAGUUGGUAAGGUAACGGCUUACCAAGGCAACGAUCAGUAGCCGACCUGAGAGGGUGAUCGGCCACAUUGGAACUGAGACACGGUCCAAACUCCUACGGGAGGCAGCGGUGGGGAAUAUUGCACAAUGGGCGAAAGCCUGAUGCAGCAACGCCGCGUGAGUGAUGAAGGCCUUCGGGUCGUAAAACUCUGUCCUCAAGGAAGAUAAUGACGGUACUUGAGGAGGAAGCCCCGGCUAACUACGUGCCAGCAGCCGCGGUAAUACGUAGGGGGCUAGCGUUAUCCGGAUUUACUGGGCGUAAAGGGUGCGUAGGCGGUCUUUCAAGUCAGGAGUGAAAGGCUACGGCUCAACCGUAGUAAGCUCUUGAAACUGGGAGACUUGAGUGCAGGAGAGGAGAGUGGAAUUCCUAGUGUAGCGGUGAAAUGCGUAGAUAUUAGGAGGAACACCAGUUGCGAAGGCGGCUCUCUGGACUGUAACUGACGCUGAGGCACGAAAGCGUGGGGAGCAAACAGGAUUAGAUACCCUGGUAGUCCACGCUGUAAACGAUGAGUACUAGGUGUCGGGGGUUACCCCCUUCGGUGCCGCAG
rnacentral:rRNA from 1 species